UACGUAGGGUGCAGGCGUUAAUCGGAAUUACUGGGCGUAAAGCGUGCGCAGGCGGUUUGCUAAGACAGGUGUGAAAUCCCCGGGCUUAACCUGGGAACUGCGCUUGUUACUGGCAGGCUUGAGUGUGGCAGAGGGGGGUGGAAUUCCACGUGUAGCAGUGAAAUGCGUAGAGAUGUGGAGGAACACCGAUGGCGAAGGCAGCCCCCUGGGCUAACACUGACGCUCAUGCACGAAAGCGUGGGGAGCAAACAGG
rnacentral:rRNA from 1 species